rnacentral:rRNA from 1 species
GGUCAAGUGAAGAAGCGCAUACGGUGGAUGCCUUGGCAGUCAGAGGCGAUGAAAGACGUGGUAGCCUGCGAAAAGCUUCGGGGAGUCGGCAAACAGACUUUGAUCCGGAGAUGUCUGAAUGGGGGAACCCAGCCAUCAUAAGAUGGUUAUCUUGUACUGAAUACAUAGGUGCAAGAAGCGAACCAGGGGAACUGAAACAUCUAAGUACCCUGAGGAAAAGAAAUCAACCGAGAUUCCCUUAGUAGUGGCGAGCGAACGGGGACUAGCCCUUAAGUGGCUUUGAGAUUAGCGGAACGCUCUGGAAAGUGCGGCCAUAGUGGGUGAUAGCCCUGUACGCGAAAAUCUCUUAGUCAUGAAAUCGAGUAGGACGGAGCACGAGAAACUUUGUCUGAAUAUGGGGGGACCAUCCUCCAAGGCUAAAUACUACUGACUGACCGAUAGUGAACUAGUACCGUGAGGGAAAGGCGAAAAGAACCCCGGAGAGGGGAGUGAAAUAGAUCCUGAAACCGUAUGCGUACAAGCAGUGGGAGCCCACUUUGUUGGGUGACUGCGUACCUUUUGUAUAAUGGGUCAGCGACUUAUUUUCAGUGGCGAGCUUAACCGAAUAGGGGAGGCGUAGCGAAAGCGAGUCUUAAUAGGGCGUCUAGUCGCUGGGAAUAGACCCGAAACCGGGCGAUCUAUCCAUGGGCAGGUUGAAGGUUGGGUAACACUAACUGGAGGACCGAACCGACUACCGUUGAAAAGUUAGCGGAUGACCUGUGGAUCGGAGUGAAAGGCUAAUCAAGCUCGGAGAUAGCUGGUUCUCCUCGAAAGCUAUUUAGGUAGCGCCUCAUGUAUCACUGUAGGGGGUAGAGCACUGUUUCGGCUAGGGGGUCAUCCCGACUUACCAAACCGAUGCAAACUCCGAAUACCUACAAGUGCCGAGCAUGGGAGACACACGGCGGGUGCUAACGUCCGUCGUGAAAAGGGAAACAACCCAGACCGUCAGCUAAGGUCCCAAAGUUAUGGUUAAGUGGGAAACGAUGUGGGAAGGCUUAGACAGCUAGGAGGUUGGCUUAGAAGCAGCCACCCUUUAAAGAAAGCGUAAUAGCUCACUAGUCGAGUCGGCCUGCGCGGAAGAUGUAACGGGGCUCAAACCAUACACCGAAGCUACGGGUAUCACGUAAGUGAUGCGGUAGAGGAGCGUUCUGUAAGCCUGUGAAGGUGAGUUGAGAAGCUUGCUGGAGGUAUCAGAAGUGCGAAUGCUGACAUGAGUAACGAUAAUGGGUGUGAAAAACACCCACGCCGAAAGACCAAGGUUUCCUGCGCAACGUUAAUCGACGCAGGGUUAGUCGGUCCCUAAGGCGAGGCUGAAAAGCGUAGUCGAUGGAAAACAGGUUAAUAUUCCUGUACUUCUGGUUAUUGCGAUGGAGGGACGGAGAAGGCUAGGCCAGCUUGGCGUUGGUUGUCCAAGUUUAAGGUGGUAGGCUGGAAUCUUAGGUAAAUCCGGGAUUCUAAGGCCGAGAGCUGAUGACGAGUUAUCUUUUAGGUAACGAAGUGGUUGAUGCCAUGCUUCCAAGAAAAGCUUCUAAGCUUCAGGUAACCAGGAACCGUACCCCAAACCGACACAGGUGGUUGGGUAGAGAAUACCAAGGCGCUUGAGAGAACUCGGGUGAAGGAACUAGGCAAAAUGGCACCGUAACUUCGGGAGAAGGUGCGCCGGUGAGGGUGAAGGACUUGCUCCGUAAGCUCAUGCCGGUCGAAGAUACCAGGCCGCUGCGACUGUUUAUUAAAAACACAGCACUCUGCAAACACGAAAGUGGACGUAUAGGGUGUGACGCCUGCCCGGUGCCGGAAGGUUAAUUGAUGGGGUUAGCUAACGCGAAGCUCUUGAUCGAAGCCCCGGUAAACGGCGGCCGUAACUAUAACGGUCCUAAGGUAGCGAAAUUCCUUGUCGGGUAAGUUCCGACCUGCACGAAUGGCGUAACGAUGGCGGCGCUGUCUCCACCCGAGACUCAGUGAAAUUGAAAUCGCUGUGAAGAUGCAGUGUAUCCGCGGCUAGACGGAAAGACCCCGUGAACCUUUACUAUAGCUUUGCACUGGACUUUGAAUUUGCUUGUGUAGGAUAGGUGGGAGGCUUUGAAGCGUGGACGCCAGUCUGCGUGGAGCCA